rnacentral:misc_RNA from 1 species
CAACCCUCAGGCCCUGCCUGGUGUUGGAGCACCACUGCUGUGGGCUCUCAAAUUCAGCGGCGGACACGGUCCGGACCCGAGCGUAGUACUUUACGUCGCUUAGGGCGCCGGGGCUUGCCUCAGCCGUUAAACCCCCCAUCUCAAGA